rnacentral:rRNA from 1 species
AUGCUUGUAUUCUCUUUCGCCAGAUCUGUGGAGGCCUGCCCUGUUUGCUCUGUUUGCUCUCGCAUCGCCUCCUACCCCCUUUUUUCUGAUGUUGGUGAUGAGUUGAAUAGUUCUGAAAAAAAUGCCUGCGAUCAAGAUGGAGCUUCAGAGGUUAAUACUGAUGCUCCAAUAUCUGAUGCGGCUAAAUCACCCAUUAUCCCUUUGACUGUGAUUGCCGAGGUUGCUUCGAGCCUUGAGAAUAUUUCAAGCCUUGAGGAUCAUGCUUCUGCGGCUCUUGCUUCACCUAAUGUGUCGACAGAGGAGGAAGCUUUGAACACCAUCAAUGAUGUUUUAUCUGAUUUGGGUUUAUCAGAAACCCCUGCUGCUGUUGAGGAGGAGGCUCCGUCAGUCAAAGGUUGUGAUCCCCUUCUCCUGGAGGACCAACGUAAGAGGAAGAAGCAAGAAGAUUUUGACAAGAAGAGGGCGGCCUGCCUUGACAAAGGUUCUGAUGUUCCUGGAUCUAUUCGUGCGGCUGAGCUCACUAUUGAGGAAGACGUGCCAUGUGGUAGUGCUGGCACUGUUGUCCCUGUUAAGAAGAAAAUCAAGAAGACUGCUACGAGGAAGCUAGUAGUUAAUGCAGUUACUCCUCGGAAGAGCCCACGUGUUUCAAGGCCUGCAGAAGUUGUUGAAGAUGAAGGGUUAGGCCUUGGUGGUACGCCACACCGUAGUCCUCGCGUGCUUGCCACUGCCGCGCCUACACCUUCUCCGCUUGGUGCUGGUGCAUCUGUUAAGGGGAAGAAAUGCGGCGUGAAGCGCAAGGUUCCACCUGCAAAGGUCAACAAGGGUGCGAAGAAGCGUUCUCGUGUUAAUCCAGAAGACAAGGAUGAUGCUGACUUCAAUGCUGAUGAUGAGGAUGAUGUCGAUGAUGACGCUGCCACUACUCAGUAUCAGCUUGUGGAGCGGCCUGAGAGGAGGAAGAGAGGAUGCAAAGCGCCCGAAGAAGGUGGCCAAGGAGGAGGUGAGGCGAAACUUUUUAACAAGACGGUUCGCUGCUCACUAGGAGAGGUGAAGACGUGUGCGAAAAUGCUACAGCCUAGGCACAAGACGAGGGUUAUUGAGGCUGGUUUUGGUUGUGUGUUUGACCUGAAGGUUGAUUCCAACAUUUCUCGUCCUUUGAUGGGCAACAUCUACAUGAGGAUUGACCCUGCAACCAUGGUUCUUGACAUGGGUGAGGCGAGCAAGGUUCUGCGUAUUACAAGUGAUGCUAUUCAACAUCUGUUUGGAUUCCCUCAAGGUAAUCGUACCCCUCCUAGGCCUUCGAGUGAUGGGUUUGAUGACGCUGUUAUGAGGUUGAAGGGCAAGCUUGGGUACGCUAGGAGUGACGACAUCAAGACAAAGGAUCUGCGGAAUAUCCUCGCGGAUCUUCUGAAGGAUGAGACGAAGGAUGAUCUUGCUCUGCAGGUGUUUUACCUGAUUGUUUUCAUGAAGGUGGUUAUCCCUAGAACGUCCACACGAGUGUCCAGGGAGGCAUCAAUGGAUGAGAAUCUUGUGUUUGAGGAUAUGGCAGAUAUGGACUACUGCCAGUUGGUUGUUGAUGACCUUCGAAGUGCUGUUAUUAGGUAUCAGCAAGGUACUAGCAGAGGAAAAGCUGCCAUAGGCUGUGCCAUUGCGCCUCUUCUUAUGUACCUGGACUGCCUUAUCAUUGGCAAGACGCCUAAUGUUGACUUGAGGACGCCUCGCAUCAAUUACAUGGAUCAGGCCAAGCUUCUUGAGCUCGCUGCGGCUGACUUGGUCAGGAAAGGUGAUGACGACCUAGCCAACUGGGUGUUUGGGAGACUACCUAGCACUUCCCACCUCCGUGCUAGUUUUGUGCUGUUCAAGGAAAUACAGGACGCCCAAUGCAAGCCUUUUGAAGAUGAGGCGAGUGUUGUUGUGAGAGAGAUUCAGAGGCAGGAUCCCGUUCAUUUGGGUCGUGAAGGAGGCCAUGUGGAGCGUACCGAAGAGGCUGUUAAUGAUGGUGCUGGGGUAAGGGAGGAUGUUUUACCUGUGCAUGAAGAUGAUCAUGUGCAUGAUCCUUGCCCCUCUAGUGAUGUAUUAGUUGAUGUGGUUCAUGGCAGUGAAAAUAAGCAGAAUGAUGAUGUUAGUGUUGCUCCAGAGAAGGCUGCAGACAUGUCCGUCUCAGGCACCGGCUGCUCCGAUGGGGUGGUCCUGACUGAACCUCAGUCGUCCGUUGGCUCUGAAGUUUCUGGUGCUGAGCAGGGCAAGACAACUAGAAACAUUAUUUUGGAGAAAGAUCAUGUUGAGUCUGCUGUACAAACUGGUGGUAGUACUGCUGCAAGCCCGGAGAAGUAUCCUGCAGUAGAGCCAUCAGUUGAUGUUGAUGCUGUACAAACUGGUGGUAGUACUGCUGCAAGCCCGGAGAAGUCUGCUGCAGCGGAGCCAUCAGUUGAUGUUGAUGCUUUACAAACUGGUAGUAGUACUGCUGCAAGCCCGGAGAAGUCUGCUGCAGUAGAGCCAUCAGUUGAUGUUGAUGCUGCACAGGCACACUCAAAUGUUUUUCUUGUUCCAGAUUCUCUGGUUGCUACAGCUGCUGCUGAUAGCAACCUUGCCGUCGUUCGAAAGAAGGUUGAUGACUUUUAUUACAGUGUAACUAGGCUUAGGAAUGAUCGUUCCAAGAGAUCAAUGAUUAUGUUCCAAAACAAGGACUGUGAAGCCAUUGUUGAAGAUGUUGCGGACAAGAUUUUUAGAGGUCAAUUUGAUUCGCGUGUGAGGAAGUACUUCAUGGCGAGUGGUCCAGAUAGCAUGGAUGCACAUGAUUCGGUUGUUUUCCCUACUUUUGACCCGCCUGAGGUUCCGGCUUCCAUGGGUGGUGUCGGUCAUUUGGUGUCGGUAUUCCUUGACCUGAAGAAUCAAGGUUCCAGCUUCUCGAUUCCUACUAUGGACCAAAAGAUGAAUGUGCGUAUCGACUGCGGUUUCUUCAUGCUUACGAAUGUUAAUUCGUAUCAUGACGGGGUUCUCGCAAAUUAUUCCCAUGAGAAUAUCGGGGAUAUCAGGAAGACAUGGCUGUACUCAAUGGCUUCUUCUAACCUGUUUGAGACAGACUUCCUAUCUCUGUUUGGCUACUACACAUUGGAUCCGUUGGAGUUGACCGAUUACCACUACUCAUUCCUCGGGUCACAGGAAUACCAGCCUAGGGAGGAACCGAUGAGUACAGCUCCGAUAGAAGAUGAGAGACCUCGGACCCUCAUUCCUUCCAAGUUGGGGGAGCAGGCUGGUGGUAUUCGUGGUACUCCAAAAACCCCUUGCUACAGGAAGGCUGAUGCAGUCGAAGCAGCCGAAGUAGAAGUUAUUUCGUUCGAUGACGAUUUUGAGAAGAUUGCUUACCCGAAGAAUGUUAAACGUGCUGCUGGAACUGUUGCUGGUAGAGGUGGGAAGAAUGCAGUGAUGACCAGGAGGAAACCGGCAGUUGAGUCUGGGAACAUAACUACCUCCAAGCGAGCAUCAAGAUUGCCUUUGAAGUGGCGUUCUCCUGUCCCUCCCCUGAAAAAAUAUAGUUACCCUCAUCUAUCCGAGGCCCGGAAAUUGAAACAGUAUGUGCUGAGUAAAGACGGACUGGAGAAGUAUUCUUGGACAAGCUACUGCAUGUUUACCAUCCCUGGGAAUGUGAUUGACCUCACAGGAAAUUUCCUUUAUAGGCUUUUCGGUGAAGGGCAGCAGAUGGAAGGAGAUAUAAUGGAUUAUCUCAUAAAUUUGUGGAAGGAUAACCCGGAGACCUUUGAGAUAUUCUCUAAUCAUGACAGGGCUAAACUCCUCCCAAUGUUUGUUCGCAAGGAAGAAGACCUUCUUAAUGCAAAGCUGGUUUUAAUGAUUCUAUUCAAGCCAAUUGGCACAAUGGCGCACUACAGUGUGUACGUGGUGAAUCGAUAUCGUGGGAGCAUUGACAUCCUCGAUUCACUUUCUUACGAAAAUAUGGAAACGUUGCGAUCGAGUUUCCAUGGGGACUGCCAAAAUAUCAUGAAGAGAUUUGUUGGAUUGCUCAAGGAGGUGUACGACAAGGCUGCAUACAAGGCGAGCAAGCAGCCUAACUAG